rnacentral:snoRNA from 1 species
AUGCAUCUCUGACAGACCUGAAAGAGUUAAUAUCUGCUGCUAAGGUUUCCACUAACGAUGCAAGAAAAAGAAGGUCCUUCUGCUUUCUGUCUGUCUGGUUGUGGCAGCCGAGACUGAAUGGGGGAAAACAGGA